GGGGCUUAGCUCAGCUGGUUAGAGCGUUUGCUUGACAUGCAAGAGGUCACUGGUUCGAGUCCAGCAGUCCCC
rnacentral:tRNA from 1 species